CAUGGAUUGAUCCGGGACUCUUUGCUGCUGUUGGCGCUGCUUCUUUUUUCAGCGGUGUGUCAAGACUAACCAUCUCCCUCACAGUUAUCAUGGUAGAGAUCACGAACGAUGUACAGUCCUUGCUACUUGUGAUGCUGGCUGUCAUGGUGGCCAAGAUGAUCGGUGACUGGUUUAACAUGUCCCUGUAUAGUUCCUUACUGAAGUUGAAAGGCAUUCCCUACUUAGACUCUGAACCUCUUGCUAGCCACAGGAAAAAACGGUUAAACCUGGAAUUGUUUUUUGCCAGAGAUGUCAUGGAGCCUUGUGUUAGAGUCCUGCACUUAAGGGAAAACAUUGCCUCACUGGCUCAGCUUAUUGCUAGCACCAGCCAUGGUGGAUUCCCAGUGGUUUACAAACCCAAGCCGGACCAAGCAGAGGUGUUCCUA
rnacentral:lncRNA from 1 species